GCAAGUCGAGGGGUAACGGGGUGCUUGCACCGACGACGACCGGCGCACGGGUGCGUAACGCGUAUACAAUCUGCCUUUUACUGGGGGAUAGCCUUUAGAAAUGAAGAUUAACACCCCAUAGUAUGUUUACUUCGCAUGGAGAAAACAUUAAAGGUUACGGUAAGAGAUGAGUAUGCGUCCUAUUAGCUAGAUGGAGUGGUAACGGCACACCAUGGCAACGAUAGGUAGGGGCCCUGAGAGGGGGAUC
rnacentral:rRNA from 1 species